AUAUUGGCUUCAAUAAACAUCCAUUUCAACACAUUUCAAUGUGCUUCACGGUAUUACUCAGCGCCAUUGUCCGUGGUGGUAGUGUAUAGUAGUUUUGUGAAGUAGUAUAUUUAUAUUAUUGUUUUUGUUUACACCAAGGAGACUAUAGUAAAGGAUAUAACAAAAAUGAGCCAGGAACGAGUUCACGUAGAAAUUCAAAAAACUUUGUUUUCGAUAAACGAAAUUACCUUAAAGAUAGGGAAAGAAUUACAAGCAAUCAAUGAGCUAAGCAGUGAAAAUGGUCCUCUAAACACUGCCAUAGAUGACGCCAAUAUGACAUUGAAGAAUGAUAUUAGAAACUUUGGUAUAGCAAUACCUUCAAGCGAUACUGAUGACAAUGAAUCAGAGAACUUCGUGAUAGCUGAGCCUUUGUCCAGCAUAACAGGCAAAUUGAAUGCUCUGAUGCGUGAUAAUGCAUCGUAGCAAGAGUCGCUGUAAUUAUUUUUCAUGGGAAUUGAUUGUAUUAUGAGAAUAAAUGAAUGAACUUUUAUAGAGAAAUAUGAGAAACCGGUAGAAAUAUUUUUAAUGAAUCAAUAGAAUUUCCUUACAUUGUAGAAAUCUUGACUAUUUUAAAAUCUGAAUAUUUACAAUUUUAAAGAUUUCAAUGACUACUAAAGCCCAGAACACAUUUUUUGAUUUUCAAAUCAUCCCAAAAUUCAUUGAAUUCCUUAUACCCAAUAAAACAACGUAAGUUCAUUUUCAAAAUUAACUGAAUAAAUUCCUAGUUUUUAUAUGUGCACCAUUAAAUUUUUUAAAAAUAUUAAAGUUUUGGUGUACAAAAUUUGUAAUUGAACGUUUCGUGGACUUAAAGUUUUGAUUCAGUCAACCAGUUGAACUUCUGUUCUUUACGUCCAGCCUGUGGAUCUAUCAAGAUGUUUAUUAUACUGGGAGAAUCUUUGACCUGAAGAAGAAAAAACAGAAAUAAAUUUUUUUUUUACAGAUUUCAGAGUUAUACGAGUUAUGUAGAAAAAUUGUUAUCACCUGCAAAGCGAUUUCCAAUGCCUUUUGUAUUUCCUCUAUGGUUUUACACAAAUGACCUCUCCGUCCAAACAUCUCCAUCAUUUUUUCGUAACGAGUCUCGGUGGACAAUAAUUGAGGUUGGUAGAAAUACCUGGAUGAAUUUAACGUCCUUGUCGAAUCUUGGAGUUCGACCAAAGUGCAACAUCCAGUUCAAUCGGGCACCAAGUAACAGAAUUACAUCAGCUCGUAAUAAAGCAGUCGUUCUUGCUGAAGAAACACUGUGCUCGUCGAAGUCCGAAACAACACCUUUCCCCAUUGGAGUCGCCAGGAAUGGCAAAUCCGUUGCUUUUAUCAAGUCCCGAAUUUCGUUUUCGGCUCUCGCAUAAGCUGAUCCUGGAAUAUUCCAAUUUAAAUUCCGAAAUUCCAACUAUUGCGAACGCGUGCAUAUAAAAAAUAUGAUAAAAACCUUUGCCAACAAUGACGAGAGGUCGUUGAGCUCGCGACAAAACGUUUGCUGCUUCUUGGACAUUUUCUUGGGCUGGAAAUAUGAGAGGUGGUGGUCGACAAGGCGAGGUCU